CCCUAAAAACCGAUCAUAAACAAAGGUAAUAUAUCAUCUCAAAGAUAGCCUUAUGCCUUCGUAACUACUCGAUUUCUUACUUCUUUAUUACUUGAGUUUUUGGAAAGUAAACCAUUUUCUUUAGCUUCCCUUCAAGGGUCACGUGAGUUUGAAGAUUCAACUUGGACUCUUCUUAUCUUAUUCAACCAAAUAGUUUUAAAUAAAUUAAUUUUAUUGGUUUUUAGACUUAAUGAUAGUAUAAUUUAUUAACCACACUAUUCUGAUAUACUAAUAAUACAAGAUUGGAAGAGGAUCUUUAUUUACUCGGUUAGUCUAACUAUUAUUGUAAGAAAUCAAUAUAACCGAUCACAUAUAUGUAAUAUAUAUGAAUUUUGUUAUAUAUAGGUAUAGCCUAUACCCGGAUCGUGCAUAUAUUAAUACAAAUUAUUUUACACUUGUAUGUAGAGUACGUAGAGCGUGAAGAGACUUACUAGUGUUUGUUUUGUGCAGUGAUUUGUAAGACUAAACUUAAUAAGGUAUGCGUGGCACGUCCUGAGCGACCGUUUCACAACAACUAGUAGCAAGUUAUUAAGAACGUAGAUCACCUAAAGACAAUCAGUUGGUUUUAUUUAAUUCAGUUUGUGACGAUAUUUUGGGUAGUUGGUUUAAGUUAUUUAAUUAUGACAAUGUGGGUUUAUUUAUAAAGGUUGGAUUAUUGAUGGAUAA